rnacentral:lncRNA from 1 species
GGAGCCAUAACUUACUAUAGGGCAGCCCAUCACUUAUAGGGCAGCCCCAUAACUCACUUAUAGGCAGCCCCAUAACUCACUUAUAGGGCAGCCCCAUCACUUAUAGGGCAGCCCCAUAACUUACUUAUAGGGCAGCCCCAUAACUCACUUAUAGGGCAGCCCCAUAACUUACUUAUAGGGCAGCCCCAUAACUUACUUAUAGGGCAGCCCCAUAACUUACUUAUAGGGCAGCCAACUAUAGGGCAGCCCCAUAACUUAUAGGGCAGCCCCAUAACUUACUUAUAGGGCAGCCAUCACAUUACUUUAUAGGGCAGCCCAUAAACUCCUAUACUGGGCAGCCCUAACUU